CAGGGAGACAACAAAAUGUUAAAUAUUAAUUUUGUCACUUAGGUCGAUCGGUAUCUCACAUUCUUAAAUAUAUUUAAGGAUUUUAUUUCCUAAGUUUUUUCUAGGUCACACCCAUUUUUUCCCUGGGCCAUUAGCUCAGGUGGUUAGAGCGCACCCCUGAUAAGGGUGAGGUCCCUGGUUCAAGUCCAGGAUGGCCCAUAUCUCUAUGUUGGGGGUAUAGCUCAGUUGGUAGAGCGCCUGCUUUGCAAGCAGGAUGUCAGCGGUUCGAGUCCGCUUACCUCCACUGAUUACCACCUCUUCCAUAAUUUAGAAGGGAGAUUUUUGUGUUGUGAUCAAAUUCUGAACGAAUCUAGCUUCCUAAUAAAUCUUAUUAAGAUGCUGGACUCAUUGAAUUUAAUUCAUUGUUUUCAGAGAACCUUGACAACUGCAUAGAUUAUUUUUAAAGACAAUAAGCAUCUUUAAUGAUGCAGAUUUAUUAUUUGUGCGAAUGCAUUAAUAACAAUUCUAUUAAGCUGAUGCUUCAA
rnacentral:tRNA from 1 species